GUGCUCACUUCGGCAGCACAUAUACUGAAAUUGGAAGGAUACAGAGAAGAUUAGCAUAGCCCCUGCACAAGGAUGACAUGCAGAUUCAUGAAGCAUUCCGUAUUUUU
ensembl:snRNA U6 U6 spliceosomal RNA